rnacentral:snoRNA from 1 species
UCCUUCCAGAUUCCUUAGCCCUCAAACCUAAACAGUGGUCUGAGUGGUCUAAAGAAAAAAGGAGAAAAGUGAAACGGAAAUGGACGUGGAGUCUUGUGACAAACAAGUUCACUUCAAAUAGUA